ACAUGUGCAGAACGAAUCGGGCAUCCGGUACGGAUCUGGCACUGAUUAGAAGCAACGUCACAUCUGAUUUCUACAAUGUUGGCGAAAACAGUUUCGGAUGAAGGGUCAUCUUUUAUGGAUCCCCUUAAAGGGCUUUUGUUGACAUAUUUUAUGCCCGAAUCAUGUUACGACGAGUUCUUAAUCAAUUUGAAUUUUUUGGAUGUACCAUGUCUGAAGAUUGUACUGAGCAAAGGCCUGGGGAUCGGCAUCAUCCUGGGAUCAGUAAUGGUGAAGCUGCCUCAGAUCAUAAAGCUAAUGGGAGCAAAGAGCGCUGAGGGGCUGAGCUUCAAGUCUGUGCUGCUGGAGCUGCUGGCCAUCACAGGAACAAUGGCCUACAGUAUCGCCAACAAGUACCCUUUCAGUGCCUGGGGCGAGGCUCUGUUCCUCAUGCUGCAGACAGUCACCAUUGGCUUCCUCAUUCAGCACUAUGGAGGAAGAAGCAGCAGAGGUCUCCUCUUUCUGGGUGUGUAUUUUGGCCUGCUGUUCCUCCUGCUGUCUCCAGUCACUCCCAUAUCAGUGGUUACCUCCAUGCAAGCCUCUAACAUGCCGGCCAUCAUCAUCGGCAGGCUGAUCCAGGCAGCCUCUAACUUCCGUAAUGGGCAUACUGGCCAGCUGUCUGCUGUCUCUGUCUUCCUGCUGUUUGUUGGAUCCCUCGCCCGCAUCUUCACCUCACUACAGGUAAGAGGACUCUGUGUGUGUGUGUCCGUCUAUAAUAUGACUGACUGAUAACAUUUUAGAAAUGAUCAGUGCUAUUCUUCAUGUACUGCAUGUAUACAUAUAUAAUAAAUAUAGGAACCCUCCCACACACUCCACAUGAACAUAAAUUUGGUGUAGUCUGAACCUUGUACCACAGAGCAGAAAAGAUAUCAACAAACAACCAGGGAACAGCUCCACAUCUAGCUCUAACUGGCUUUUAACAGUUUUAUUUGAUAAAGCCUGAAGAUCUGUGAGAUGGAAACAUUGCGUACAAAACAUUACAAUGAGUGGAGAAACAUAACAAAUGCAGAUGCUUCCACACAGGUGCACCGCAUGGUACAAUUAAGCAGUUAACAUCCAGUCAUGCUCUGUGGCAUGUAUAAAAAUAUAAAAAGACCCAGUUGAAGUUGAUUCUGUUUUUGUAUCAAGAGGGCAAGAGGAAAACAUCUAAGUGACUUUGAAAGAGGGUUCAUUGUUGAGGGACGGAUGGCAGGAGCUUCAGUCAGAGACUGCUCAACUGGCUAGUGUUUCAAUAGGAACAAUGAAUAAAGUGACAUCUGAAUUUAGAUCUAUGGGAAAGACAUCAGUAAACAGGGUUGGAAAUUGUGGUCGGCAGCGCACAUUUGAUGGCCAUGAUGCUCGUGCAUUAGCGCGAUAUCUAAGGAAAAACAGAAGAGCAACUCUUCUUCUCUUCUCCUCAGGUGACUGAGAAUGUCAAUGAAGGACAUGAUCAGACUGUCAGGAAGAACAGUAUGUCAACAAUUACAUAGGGAUAUUAUAGUAGUGUUGCAGUGCAUAAACCCCUCAUUACAAAGAUGAAUGCACAUUUGAGUUCAGUGGUGCAAAAACCAUAGGCACUGGUCUACAGAGAUGUGGGAAAAAAAGUGAUAUGGUCAGAUGAGUCAUCCAGGGUUUACUUUAGCCAGCAUAUGCUGUUUUUUUGACAGUAUCACGUGUAGUUGUCCGGCACAUGAAAAUAUUGUAAUAAACUUCAGUUGUUAAAGAGUUUAAAAGGUAGUGUAAAACUGCCACCACCUUUGUUAACCUGGUUUGGCCCGGCAAGGGAAUAUUCACCACACAAGCAUGUGGUACGAAAAUGUUUAGCUUUUAUUGAAAAUAUAUUAAUUAAAAACCACAAGCACAAAACAAUUAGAUUGAACUUUGUCAUUACACAUGUACAAGUGCAAGGCAAUGAAAUGCAGUUUAGGUCUAACCAGAAGGGCAAUAAGCAAGUGCAGGAUAUAAAACAUGUGCAUAAAUGCAGGAUAGAGCAAUAUUAUGAAAAUAUUUUACAAGUGGUACUAUGGACAUUAUAUACAGAUGGCAUUAUUAUAAACAGAAGGCCCCCAAAAGGUCAACCCCAAAUAGGCACAGGUGGUCACCCUGCAACGUGUGAAUGCGAUAUGUAGUGUGUGAAGUGCUUUGAGUGGUCGGAAGACUAGAAAGGCGCUAUACAAGUACAGUCCAUUUACUAUUUACACACCAUGGGAAAACCAUUGGACACAAUUGGAACUGUAUCGAAUGCACAGCAACCACUACACUGCACACUAAUGAAACACAGUAUCACAAGGCAUGUCAAUCAGUAAGGACCACUCCAAACUGUAGACAGGUCAGAACCAUUUCUACCAAUAGGGGGAAGCAGAGGACCUCCACCAGGGUUGCUUCUGCAGAGUGUCAAAUUACUAAAAUCUAUUUUAAAGAUAAAUCACAUAUAGAACAAGACAGAAAAAGUCAUAAUAAGACAAUAUAUUAAACAUGAAAGUGUUUCAGACUUAUCUCGCCCCAGUCUGGCGUCAAGACUCCCCCAUGGGGCCUAUAUGCUCUGUUCACAAAGUUUGUGAAGAAUUCAUUCCGCUGACUACUUUUAAAAAAAUAUAAUUUCUGUUUUUGUGUUGUGCUGUUUAAAUGUAGGCUAUUACCGUAAAACUUCAAUUAAAAGCCGAGCCCAAAUUAAAUGCCAAGUCCCUUGUACGGGUUCCUUGUCCCUGGUGUGGCCACACGUUUUGACAAAUAAACGCAGGCGCUCUCUCUCUUCAAUGUGAUUCAAUGCAAGACAAACAAAAACAAUACAGGUGUAUACUGAUAAAAGAAUAAAAUAAAGAAACCUUUUUUGUUUAAAAAAGGAGAUGGUGGAGGAGAUGGUAAGUACAAGUAUAUUUAUUUUAUCUGUCUAUAUAUCUCUGUCCUACUGGUUGUCUCUUUUGUUGUGGCGGGAAGUGACAUAUUUAGCACAUUUUUUCUUUUCCCCCAGAAGGAGGGGUAAUUUCUCCCUUUGUGAAUUCGGGACAGUUGUUUUAAAAUUUUGGAAAGAAUUCCUCCCUAAUACUGUAUUUUUGACAUUUUGUUAGAACAUGUAAUUGUGUCUCUACAGCUCCCUCAUCACAAUGACAGCACAUCCUGUCCUCUCUGGAUAGCCAGGUCUCCUGCCCUUCUCUAUUGCCAGACUAUGGUCACUCAGUUACUGUGGUUAGGUGGUCUGCCACAGUAUACUGUCUGUUUAGGACCAAAUAUGUUUCUAGUUUGUGUUGAGUGUGUAAUAUCCUUCUAAUAGGUGAGGUAUUUUUCUUUAGCUAUAAUUUGGUUAGGUCUAAUCUUCUGAGUGAUCAUGUAACUGCCCCUGGCUGGGGUUUGUGACAUCAGAAGGUGAAAGGUCAGACAGCCUCAGACCCAGUUUGCUGAGAGGACUCCUUUCUGUGUUCAACUCUUGGUAGGCAAGGGCUUUAUAAUGGUAACAGGCAGGGUCACUCUUUUUAAUAUGGCUCCAUCCAGAAUUUGUUAGAUCUUAGAAGUAAAGGAUAUUGGCCUAAUUCAGCUCUGCAUGUAGAGUUUGGGGUUUUCCUUUGUACCCACAGAAUAUGUUUUUGCAGAACUCUGUAUGCAGGGUUUCAAUUGGAUUUUUGUCCCAUUUUGCACAAUCAUUUUGUAGUAAGGGGCCCCAUACCUCACUGCCAUACAAUGCAAUCAAUUCUAUAACUGGUUUAAAUAUUUUGAGCAAUGUACUGACUGGAAUUUGGAUUUGAACUGAACACUUGAUGGCAUCGAAAGCCCUUUUUGCCUGCUCUUUGAGUUCCUUCACAGCAGAGCAGAAGUUUCCUGUGGAACGAAGUUGUAAACCUAAGUAUAGGUAUUUGUUUUAUUUGGGUCCCACCUAUUUUAAAUGUUGGGUCAUUUCUCUGUAACCUUAAUCUUUUUUGGAAGGUAAUCAUUUUGGUCUUCUUCAUGUUAACUGUCAGGGCCAAGGUCUGACAGUACUGAUGGAGAAGGUCCAGGCUCUGCUGAAGACCUUUAGUAGGAGACAGCGUGACAAGGUCAUUUGUAUGAAACAGACACUUAAUUUCUGUGUCUUGAAGAGUGAGACCAGGUGCUGGUGAUUAUUCUAAUAACAAUGCCAGUUCAUUGAUAUUCAUUAAUUUAUAUUAGUUUAUUAAUAUAAAUAUUUAAGAGGGGCUGAGGUUGCAGCCUUGGUUCACCCCCUCUACCCAAGUCUGUGUUUAUCUCCAAUUUUGACAGUCAAUUUUCAUAUAUUGAUUUAAUUACAACAAAUGACUUCCCCCCUAUACCACUUUCUAUUAGUUUAAAAAGUAAUCCCUCAUGCCAGACUGAAUCAAAAGCUUGUUGGAAAUCAACAAAGCAUGCAUGAAUUCUGUCUUAAUUUUGAUUUACAUAUUUAUCAAUUAGUGUGUGUAGGGUGAAAAUGUGGUCAGCAGUUCUAUAAUUCAAAAGGAAUCCAAUCUGACUUUUGCUUUAGACAAUUUGCUCAAUGAGGAAGUCUAUCUGAACAUGUAAUGUAUGUGGACUGUUCGCGGAGAGGAUGUGCGGUGGAAUGUAUCUUUUAACUGGCUACACGCUGCUGGCUGCAACGCGCAUACGGCGUAGAGUGUAAAGUCAUAGGCAAAUCAAGAUGGUGAGCUUUUCCUUUUGGGACUGGGAUUGUGUCUUUUUUGUCAGUUUUUGGACCCAGCACAGCGCUGUUAAACUUCAACCUUUUCACCGAGUUUGUGUAAUAUGGGUAAGUUAACAUCUACAGAUUACAGUACAUUAAUUAUUUAGGGGAUGAAGUUACAUAGCAACCGCCAGUUGGCACUAACGUAGGCAAAACCUGAAAACACCUGUUUGAUACAAAGUAGCCGAUAUACAGCAUGGCUACUUUUUAAAGAUAAUUAUAAAUUGUCAGGAAAUAUUGAUUUGAAAUUAGCGUAUUUCUUUAACUUGUUGUUGGCGUUACAGAAACUAGCAAACAACCUAGUUGCCUAUAUCAACUGUCAGUGAAAUCAUUCAGCUAGUAAGUCUAACUGAAUUCCAGCUAACAUUAGAUUCAUAUUUCGUGUAGCCAACACAUUUUUAUCUGGGCAAAUUUGGGUGCAUCACAUCAACCAAUGCAGGAGACAACAAGUUGCUUUUUAUCAACUGGUUGCAGAGCUGCAGUUUCAAGGUGAGCUUUACCGCAGAUACUUCAGGAUGACUCCACAGCAAAUGGACCAUGUCCUCGACCAUCGUAAGCACUGAACUUCAGAGGCAAAAUGCAAACUUCUGGGAAUCCAUUGAACCUAAACAACGGCCUGCUGUAACACUGAGGUUCCUAGCUACUGGAGAGUCCUUCAGAAGCCUGGCUUUCUCAUUUCCGUUGUUUUUGUUAGCACUUGUUGAUGCAGAUUACCGCUUCAGGAUGAUUCAGGAAACUGGUGACUCACUGAUGGCCCUCACCUACGUCAUAUCCUCAACUUGUAAUGGUAUCAUCGCUCUGCAGGUUCUCUACUACUGGAACAGCUCCUCAGAACGCAAGAAGAAGAA